rnacentral:rRNA from 1 species
AUCUACAGCCAUGCCACCCUGCACAAGCCUGAUGUCUGAUGUCAGAAGCUAAGCAGGGUCGGGCCUGGUUAGUACUUGGAUGGGAGACCAGGUGCUGUAAGCG